rnacentral:rRNA from 1 species
AACGAACGCUGGCGGCAGGCUUAACACAUGCAAGUCGAACGCCCCGCAAGGGGAGUGGCAGACGGGUGAGUAACGCGUGGGAAUCUACCCAGAUCUUCGGAACAACUGAGGGAAACUUCAGCUAAUACCGGAUACGCCCUACGGGGGAAAGAUUUAUCGGAUCUGGAUGAGCCCGCGUUGGAUUAGCCAGUUGGUGAGGUAAUGGCUCACCAAGGCGACGAUCCAUAGCUGGUCUGAGAGGAUGAUCAGCCACACUGGGACUGAGACACGGCCCAGACUCCUACGGGAGGCAGCAGUGGGGAAUAUUGGACAAUGGGCGAAAGCCUGAUCCAGCCAUGCCGCGUGAGUGAUGAAGGCCUUAGGGUUGUAAAGCUCUUUCAGUAGGGAAGAUAAUGACGGUACCUACAGAAGAAGCCCCGGCUAACUUCGUGCCAGCAGCAGCCGCCGUAA